CCGGAAAGAAAAAUAAG
rnacentral:tRNA from 1 species